GAUGGACGCGCAUAACUCAUACGCAGCGUGGGCUUAUCCUGGCUUCGCGACCAUAAAGUUCACCCAUUCCUGUGCUCCUUCGGGCGUUUUUUUUUUUUUAGCCGCCAAGUAGUUGCGACUAGCGUGCUUGGAUUUACUCAUUUACGCACAUGCCCAAGCACAACCCUUUUAAUCGUAGUAAACAAGCAACCGCAUUCCAUUUGCCGUCCCUAAUUGAGUUUCCACAAAACAAACAAGUACUACAUUGCCAGCUCUCAGAAGGUAAAACAAAAUCUGACGUACAAGAAAAACAAAAAAAAAAGCAUGAACCCAUCUGUGGUUUUCACACUGAAAGCGAGAGCAUUUCCGGUUACCUGUCAUUAGGCCACAAUGGAGUACAUUUUGCAGCCACAGUCAGACGGAAC